rnacentral:rRNA from 1 species
AUUGAACGCUGGCGGCAGGCCUAACACAUGCAAGUCGAGCGGAUGAAGGGAGCUUGCUCCUGGAUUCAGCGGCGGACGGGUGAGUAAUGCCUAGGAAUCUGCCUGGUAGUGGGGGAUAACGUCCGGAAACGGGCGCUAAUACCGCAUACGUCCUGAGGGAGAAAGUGGGGGAUCUUUGGACCUCACGCUCUCAGAUGAGCCUAGGUCGGAUUAGCUAGUUGGUGGGGUAAAGGGCUACCAAGGCGACGAUCCGUAACUGGUCUGAGAGGAUGAUCAGUCACACGGGAACUGAGACACGGUCCAGACUCCUACGGGAGGCAGCAGUGGGGAAUAGUAGGCAAUGGGCGAAAGCCUGAUCCAGCCAUGCCGCGUGUGUGAAGGAGGUCUUCGGAUUGUAAAGCACUUUAAGUUGGGGGGAAGGGCAGUAAGUUAAUACCUUGCUGGUUUGACGGUACCAGCAGAAUAAGCACCGGCUAACUUCGUG